CGCGUAGGUGGUUCUGUAUGUCUACCGUGAAAGCGUACGGCUCAACCGUAUUUAGUCGGUAGAAACUGCAGGACUUGAGGCUGGGAGGGGGCUGGUGGAAUUCCCUGUGUAGCGGUGAAAUGCGUAGAGAUGGGGGAGAACACUCGUGGCGAAGGCGGCCAGCUAGACCAGUUCUGACACUGAGGCGCGACAGCGUGGGGAGCAAACA
rnacentral:rRNA from 1 species